GAUCCGGCUGAUCCGAAUACUCUCCUUGGCCAUCUGAAUUCAAAACAUAACAGUUAGAACAUAAGGUUCACUAGUCUGGUUUAAGAAGAAAUUCAACUAAGUAAUUGUUUUAUAUGCGCUUCAUGAGUACUCUGAUAUUUGACUAGUCCGGUCUAACACAACGUUAGGUCGAGGUACGGGUUGAAAAGCCUUAGGCCUUGAUCUAAUGGAAAACGCUUACUCUAGGUACGGGUUGCAAAGCCUUAUGCCUUGACGCAGCGGGACGAGUUAGUGGAUGAACUGGUCUAGGUCAUGGAGUAAAGUUUGUGACUCUGAACGGAUUGUCCCUAGCCCGUCACGUAGCGCUUCCGGACCAUGGUGUUGGGUUGGACGGUCAGUCAUGUUCUUGUUUGAUUGUUGUCUGGCCGGUUGGCCUUUCAUUUCCAACCCUGGGUAUUGGACGGUCAAUCGGUCAUGUUCUUGUUUGAUUGUUGGCCGGUUGAUCGACCAUAUUUCUAGGACGGUUCGGGGGUGUUACAGUCGGGGGCAUUCGUAUUUCAUAGUCAGAGGUGAAAUUCUUGGAUUUAUGAAAGACGAACAACUGUGAAAGUAUUUGCCAAGGAUGUUUUCAUUAAUCAAGGACGAAAGUUUGGAGCAAUCAGAUACCGUCCUAGUCUCAACCAUAAAUGAUGCCGACCAGGGAUCAGCGGAUGUUGCUUUUUGGACUCCGCUGGCACCAUAUGAGAAAUCAAAGUUUUUGGGUUCCAGGGGGAGUAUGGUCGCAAGGCUAAAACUUGAAGGAAUUGACGGAAGGGCACCACCAGAAGUGGAGCCUGCGGCAUAAUUUGACUCAACACGGGGAAGCUUACCAGGUCCAGACAUAGUAAGGAUUGACAUACUGAGAGCUCUUUCUUGAUUCAAUGGGUGGUGGUGCAUGGCCGUUCUUAGUUGGUGGAGCGAUUUGUCUGGUUAAUUCCGUUAACGAACGAGACCUCAGCCUGCUAACUGGAUACGUGGAGGAAUCCCUUCACGGCCGGCUCCUUAGAGGGACUAUGGCCGUUUGGGCCAAAGAAGUUUGAGGCAAUAACAGGUCUGUGAUGCCCUUAGAUGUUUUGGGCUGCACGCGCGCUACACUGAUGUAUUCAACAAGUUCACACCUUGGCCGACAGGCCCGGGUAAUCUUUGAAAUUUCAUCGUGAUGGGGAUAGAUCAUUGCAAUUGUUGGUCUUCAACGAGGAAUUCCUAGUAAGCGCGAGUCAUCAGCUCGCGUUGACUACGUCCCUGCCCUUUGUACACACCGCCCAUCGUUCCUACCGAUUGAAUGAUCCGGUGAAGUGUUUGGAUUGCGGCGACGUGGGUGGUUUGCCGUCUUCGACGUCGCGAGAAGUCCACUAAACCUUAUCAUUUAGAGGAAGGAGAAGUCGUAACAAGGUUUCCAUAGGUGAACCUGCUGAAG
rnacentral:rRNA from 1 species